AUUGAACGCUGGCGGCAUGCCUUACACAUGCAAGUCGAACGGUAACAGGUUAAGCUGACGAGUGGCGAACGGGUGAGUAAUGUAUCGGAACGUGCCCAGUCGUGGGGGAUAACUGCUCGAAAGAGCAGCUAAUACCGCAUACGACCUGAGGGUGAAAGCGGGGGAUCGCAAGACCUCGCGCGAUUGGAGCGGCCGAUAGCAGAUUAGGUAGUUGGUGAGGUAAAGGCUCACCAAGCCGACGAUCUGUAGCUGGUCUGAGAGGACGACCAGCCACACUGAGACUGCGACACGGCCCAGACUCCUACGGGAGGCAGCAGUGGGGAAUUUUGGACAAUGGGCGCAAGCCUGAUCCAGCCAUGCCGCGUGCGGGAAGAAGGCCUUCGGGUUGUAAACCGCUUUUGUCAGGGAAGAAAAGGUUCUGGCUAAUACCUGGGACUCAUGACGGUACCUGAAGAAUAAGCACCGGCUAACUACGUGCCAGCAGCCGCCGUAACAC
rnacentral:rRNA from 1 species